AUUGAACGCUGGCGGCAGGCUUAACACAUGCAAGUCGAGCGGAGAUGAGGUGCUUGCACCUUAUCUUAGCGGCGGACGGGUGAGUAAUGCUUAGGAAUCUGCCUAUUAGUGGGGGACGACAUUCCGAAAGGAAUGCUAAUACCGCAUACGUCCUACGGGAGAAAGCAGGGGAUCUUCGGACCUUGCGCUAAUAGAUGAGCCUAAGUCGGAUUAGCUAGUUGGUGGGGUAAAGGCCUACCAAGGCGACGAUCUGUAGCGGGUCUGAGGGGAUGACCCGCCACACGGGGACGGAGACACGGCCCAGACUCCUACGGGAGGCGGCAGUGGGGAAUAUUGGACAAUGGGGGGAACCCUGAUCCAGCCAUGCCGGGUGUGUGAAGAAGGCCUUAUGGUUGUAAAGCACUUUAAGCGAGGAGGAGGCUACUGAGACUAAUACCCUUGGAUAGUGGACGUUACUCGCAGAAUAAGCACCGGCUAACUCUGUGCCAGCCGCCGCGGUAA
rnacentral:rRNA from 1 species